UACAGAGGUCUCAAGCGUUGUUCGGAAUCACUGGGCGUAAAGGGUGCGUAGGUGGCGUGGUAAGUCAGAUGUGAAAGCCCGAGGCUCAACCUCGGAACUGCAUCCGAUACUACCAUGCUAGAGUAUUGAAGGGGAAACUAGAAUUCUCGGUGUAGCAGUGAAAUGCGUAGAUAUCGAGAGGAAUACCAAAGGCGAAGGCAGGUUUCUUGGCAAUUACUGACACUGAGGCACGAAGGCCAGGGUAGCGAACGGG
rnacentral:rRNA from 1 species